AAAGGGAGCACGCUGAGAUCCUGUGUCCUCAUACUGAAAUAAUGGGAUUCAUUUUCCUCUCAGUGGGCUAGAAGGAGGCCGCUCCACCCCUACAGCUUUCCAGAAACAGGGAAGCAGAGGGAGGGAACAAGAGACACAGGGGGAGAGAGAGAAAGAUAAAGGUGGGGAAAGAGAGACACCCAGGGGGAGAGAGAGGAAGACAGAGGUGGGGAAAGAGAGAUACACAGGGGGAGAGAGAGGAAGACAGAGGUGGGGGAAGAGAGACACACAGGGGGAGAGAGAGGAAGACAGAGGUGGGGAAAGAGAGAUACACAGGGGGAGAGAGAGGAAGACAGAGGUGGGGAAAGAGAGAUACACAGGGGGAGAGAGAGGAAGACAGAGGUGGGGAAAGAGAGACACACAGGGGGAGAGAGAGGAAGACAGAGGUGGGGAAAGAGAGAUACACAGGGGUAGAGAGAGGAAGACAGAGGUGGGGAAAGAGAGACACACAGGGGGAGAGAGAGGAAGACAGAGGUGGGGAAAGAGAGAUACACAGGGGGAGAGAGAGGAAGACAGAGGUGGGGGAAGAGAGACACACAGGGGGAGAGAGAGGAAGACAGAGGUGGGGAAAGAGAGAUACACAGGGGGAGAGAGAGGAAGACAGAGGUGGGGAAAGAGAGAUACACAGGGGGAGAGAGAGGAAGACAGAGGUGGGGAAAGAGAGAUACACAGGGGGAGAGAGAGGAAGACA